GUGUUAGCUGGCCCAUGAAGACACAGUUAUCCUGUGCCCUAUGGAGUUUCCUUAUUCCCAUGUUAGGGCCUCUCCUUCUGGCACAGUUCAGUUGUUGGUGGCAAGGAGAGAGACAUGAAGGGAUGGACUGGGAGAUGUGUGUUCCAGGACGAAGGAAAAAGAUUCCACAUAUAAUUGAUAUCAUAUCCAAGGAAAACCUAAUUGGAAAAGAUACAUGCACCCCAAUGUUCAUUACAGCACUGUUUAUGAUAACCAAAACAUGAAAGCAACCUAAAUGUCCAUCAACAGAGGAAUGGAUAAAGAAGAUGUGGCACAUAUAUGAACUACAUAAAUGAAAUACUACUCAGCCAUAAAAAAUGAUGAAAUAAUGCCAUUUGCUACAACAUGGUUGGACCUAGAGAUGAUCAUAGUGAGUGAAGUAAGUCACACAGAGAAAGACAAAUAUCAUAUCAUAUAUCACAUUCUAAUGCUCAGGGUGUUUAGGAGCAAGGACAGUGCUUAGCAGAGAAUCUUGCUAAACAGGGAGAGGAAAAAAUUAUUAAGCAUUUACUCAGUGCCAGGAAUUGUGGUGGGUGCCUUACGUCUGUAGUGGACACUGAGGUUAACGUUAUGACUUUCAAUCCAAGCCUGCCUUUGAGCAGCAACAAAGGAAUGGUUUCUAAACAGCCUAAUCCCCUCAAAGGAGAUUCAUUCCCUUGCCUGGUGGUGGUGGUGGGUGGGAGGGCAGCUUCUAGAAUCCAGGUUUAAGCCAAUCAGAGCAUUGCACUCCCCUAAUGAGUGGAUAGAUUAAGGCUGGGCCUGAGAUCUAAACUGGGCAUUCAUACAGAAAGGAAAGAUUCUUUCCAUUUAGGGGCAUGAGGCCAAAGCUCUGGGCAGCAGAUGCAUGCAAGCAUAUAGAUCCUUAGUGCCAGAGAGUCGUUAAAUCCAUCAACCAAACCUAAACUGAGCUGAGCAGACAUCCUCCACUCCCUCCCCAUACCUUUCUCAGCUUGCUCUCUGCUCUGAAAGGCUGACUUGUCUGGACUGUGUGGUUGCGCUCUCUUGUCCUCUGGCUCUUGGGGAACAUGGGCAGGAUGUGGAAAGAGGGAGCAGGGUAAGACUCUGCAUACUCAUUCUGAGAUAAUCCCCUGUUUGGAGCAUCUUCUUCUGUGAGAUGACACCCUCCCUUACUAUUUAAACUGGUCUGAAUUAUGUUUAUUCGUUAUUUACAGUAACACAUGUACCCACAAACAUAUGUUAUCUCUUGUAAACUUCAGGAGAAGU
rnacentral:lncRNA from 1 species